AGCAGCAUGGCGCAGUUGGAAGCGCGCGGGGCCCAUACCAUGCAUCUCUAGAUCUGAUUGCCACCCCGAGGUCACUUGAUCGAAACAAGUUGCUGCUA